GCAGAUCUGAGAUCCUUAAGUGUAGAUCUGAGAUGUUUUGAUGCAGAUCUGAAAUAUUUUGGUCAGAAUUUGAAUUUGGAUAACAAUACAAACACGGUUAACGGGUAUCCAACGGAUAUCCGCAGGUUGGAAAAAAUUUGCGGGUUUUUUUAUGCGGGUACCCGGCGGAUAGCGGGAUGAGUAACGGGUACACUUUUAUAUAAAGCCGUCAAAAUGGGUUACAACCCGCAAGCCAACCCGGCCCGUCACAGGUUCAAGCCGAUUUGGGUUUGAAAAAUACAACCCACUUAUAUGCGGGUCAGACUUCAACCCGGCUCAUUUAGACCCGGCUCAUGCGGGUUGAACCCAUGGUGAGCCGAGUUGGCCCACCAACCCACCCACCUAAUUUUAUUUUUUUAAUUUAUUAUUUUAUUUAUGAAACCCUAAAAAAUAAAAUACUUUCUUCACUCAC
rnacentral:lncRNA from 1 species